UGUGGGUGAACAGUGAUCGAGAAAUAAGAUUAGUAUCGGAUGAGAGCUGCUAGAAUCUAGAAUGUGGUGACUACUGAGAGCUGGUAGAAUUCGAAAUGGUAGGGUAAUGGGAUAUAAUAAUAAAUUAAUAAAUUAUAAUUAUUAUAAUUUUUAAUAAUAAAAUAAAAGCAAGGAAAGCCGCCUUUGUUAAGGGUUAGUCUCUUGGCGGUGAUAUUCUGGAUCUCUGUUGAGAGAAAGCUAGAAAGAAAAUAGAGAGAGAGCAGUAAUCUUUGUUGGCUGUGACUUUUUUGGUCUUGGUUGAGAGAAAAACUGGAGAGAUAGAAGAGAAAAAGAAGGAGAGUUGAGAGAGAUCAUCUGGAAGAACUUCUGGCAGGGAUCAGAGGGCAAUUAAAGCUUUUGAUUGUUUGAUUUGAUACACCUCGUCUUCAUUUCAGGUAAAACUCUUAUAAGGCGUGCGAAUCUAAGGUAUCUAUUCCUUCUUCUUAUUUUUUUUCUCUAUAAUUUUAUGGUGCUUUAAGCUUUUAUCCCAUAUUCCUCUCCUUAAACCUUGAAAAAAUUUAAACCUUAGCCCACCUAUUUGAUUAUAGGCAACCCUUUCCUUAAACCCUAAAAUAAAAAGGAAAUACCUUAUUCUUCUUCUUAAACCUCAAAACAAUAAAAACCCUAUCCCACCUAUUUGAUUAUGGACAACCAUCUCCUUAAACCCUAAAAUAAAAGGGAGAUACCUUAUUCCUCUUCUUAAACCUCAAAACAAUAAAAACCUUAUCCCACCUAUUUGAUUAUGGACAACCAUCUCCUUAAACACUAAAUUAAAAGGAGACCAUUCAGGGGGAUACAUGUAGUUAUCACCAUCGUAUGUUUCUCUAAUGAAUCUAUUAGGUGCACAAGUGGCAGCAUAUUAUUAGUCCACAAACACAUUGUAUCACCCUGUUAGUCCAUGUAUACACGGCACCAUUUCACAGGUCUGUGUUGUGUCAUCUAGUUGCAUCUUAUAAAAAGGAAUCCCCAUUAAUAGACCUCAAGGACCACCAUUUGAAAGGACUGAAAAAAUCUCUUUAAGGGAUUUGUUCUCUGAAAAUUACUGCUAGUUGCUCCAACUCAUGCUUCCUCUUAAUCCACUCUAUUCUUCCUUUGAAUUGGGACAACUCGCCAUCCACAUGGUCACCUCCUUCAACAAAAAUAGAUCACAAAAAUCCUAGUAUAGCCUUUACAAACUUAUCUCAAUCUUAAGACCUUUUCCUCAAAACCUAUAAUGUUUAACACCUUUCUUUAUUUUUAUGCAAUAAGGACAUCUAUUUCUAUAAGGAAAUAUCAACAAAACAAAUAUCUAAUAUAAUAUUCUCUACUAUUAUGAUCCAAAAUGAAAUUUGAGACACUUUGUAACAUAGCUCAAUGAAGCCAUAUCAUUGAUUCCUCCCCUCUUUUUUCCCUUUCUAUAAGAAGGCUGAUCAAUAUGAAAGAAGUAGAAAUUUCACAUGUACAACAAAAGGAAACAUAAAAAUGACCUCUUAAAGAGGUAAAAAAGAAGGAAAGAAAAAUCCAAAGUCAUAAUAAAAUACAUGAUUGUAGGGCAAUAAAAAUGCAAGAAUAUUAUACUAACCUGCAAGCUUCCCAUUAAUAAAAGCAUGAAGGGCAUGGCCUAGUGAUUCCACAUGAAGAACAGUUUGUGAUCCAUCUUCAAGGAAAGGCUCAUCACCUUGUAUUUCAGUGCUACAACAAACAACCAGGGAAAGUUUCUGAAAUAUUUAUAGCUUCAGAAGAAAAAAUGGUGGGAACAAGUGCAAACAAUAAACUUUUAUCCUAAGGAUCUAUUCCCCAAAAAUUUAUACCUUAGUGAAUACCACAGAUAGUCACUUUUAUCA